rnacentral:lncRNA from 1 species
AAAAUCGUGUUUGAACAAGAACGAUUUUCCAUCUAUUUAUAUCUCAUCCUUUGUCUCUUCCGGUGCUUAACAUGUUCCAUAUCAAAUACAGUGUAACACCCUCUAUCUUUGUCAAAAUCACAAGAACAUAGCAGGCUAGUAGUUGCAAUGAUCAUGAAACCAUGCACUUUCUUACUAGCCAUAGCCACCUCUUACUUGUUACUUCUCGUUAAUGCAACCCCAAAAUCAACCUACCAUUCUCUCUUCAUCUCCAAUUCCCUAUCAGACAAUGCCUCCAUAGCCAACCACCUUCAAAUUCUCACCCGCAGACCUCACAUAGCAGGUUCUGAAGCAAACGCUGAGGCUGCAGUUUAUGUACGCUCAGUCCUCACCUCCUUCAACAUACCAACUCACUUUGCUUCCUACCAAGUUUCCCUCACACUCCCUCUUUCUCGCUCCUUGGUGCUCACAAACUCGCCAGCACCAGAAACAGCCACCAACUUUACUCUCCGUCAAGAAAUCUACAAGGGUGAUCCUUAUGCUGAUGUUGCAGACCAGGCUGUUCCAACAUUCCACGCCUAUGCCAAGUCAGGCGCCGCCACCGGACCAGUCGUGUACGCGAACUACGGAAGGGAGGAGGACUAUUUGACACUCACACAGAUUGGGAUCAACGUUUCAGGUAGAGUCUUGAUUCAUAGACCACUUAAUAGUAUAGCUAGACGCUCACAAACACCUCAUUUUUCUCUAUAUCCCGCACUAUUUAUCACAUUAUAUCAUAUAUCACAUUUAUUAUUUCUCUCUGUUGUCUACACCUAAGAGUGUUCUAUAAAUCAUUUUUGCAGGCACUGUUGUAUUGGCGAAGUAUGGGAAAAUCUUUAGAGGCGACAUUGUGCAGAAUGCUUAUGAUGCCGGAGCUGCAGGGGUGGUGAUAUAUUCAGAUAGGAAGGACUGCGGUGGCGCUGGCAAGGCGCGGUGGUUCCCUGAUGACAAGUGGUUGCCGCCGAGCGGGGUUCAGGUGGGGUCGGUGUUUUUGGGGAAAGGAGACCCUACAACGCCUGGUUGGCCCAGUUGUGGUGAGUGUGAGAGGCUGACUCACGAUGAGGUUGAGAAGAGAGGUGAUGUUCCUCUAAUACCUUCAUUGCCGGUGUCUGGUGAAGAUGGUGACAAGAUAUUGAAGUCAAUUGGUGGCCCUGUUGCUAAGGAUGACUGGCAGGGAAGCCAAGAUGCACCUACUUACCGGGUUGGACCAGGACCAGGAAUUUUACACCUCAAUUAUACGGUAUGUUUUCUAUCUAGCGGUAACUACUAGUCUACUAUCAUGAACCAAAUUGGUUCAACAUGGUAUAUUAGAGACUCUAUGACUAAAUUGUUUAGAAUUCGAUUCCUGUCGCUCUCAAUUUUUCAAAUAACAAGUUGAAUUUCAGCAUAUAGUAGGUGAACAAGUGCAUUAUUCACGUUUCAAGUCCAAGUGAAUCUUGCUUGAGGAGAUGCAUUAGAAAUAUAAUCAUUGAGUACUUUAUCAAACACCUUAAGCUUUAGCCUUUAGGGAUAAUUGGUUCUUGACAAUUACAUUAUAUUAUGUUCUAGUGAACUUGUUAUUUGUAAAAUCUGUUAUGGCCUGGUGCAAACAUCACUUGCAAAAGUAUCCGAUAGGUUAAACAAGAACUGAAUUGGUUAGUGGAUUUUUGGGAUUUGCUCUUGCAGGGACAGGAUAUUAUAGCCACAAUUCAAAAUGUUAUUGGUGUGAUUGAAGGAGAAGAAGAGCCUGAUAGGUAUGCAAGAAUUGAGAGCUUAGAAAAUUCACAAUCUUGUUUUAUUGAAUUUUUUAUUUAAUUACUUUUGCAACUGCUUGUAGAUUUGUGAUUCUAGGCAAUCAUAGGGAUGCAUGGAGUUAUGGUGCAGUUGAUCCCAAUAGUGGAACUGCAGCACUACUUGAGGUAACUUUGUUACAGCUCUGAUUCGUGUAGUGUAGGACGGAAUAGUGGUAAACACCUGAUCCCAGCAAUUUGUGGUGGUGUCACUAUUCUGUAGUACACAAAUUAUUUUGACUUUGUAAACAUGGUUUUGUUAAUUCAGGCAAUACCAUUAAAAUAUACAUACUACUGAAAUUCAGGUAGCGGAAAGAUUGAGGAAGCUUCAGAAAAGAGGAUGGAAACCUAGAAGAACAAUUAUCUUAUGCAAUUGGGAUGCUGAGGAAUACGGUCUUGUAAUUUUCUUUCUCUCUUUCUUGUCUCUCUUUUGUUAUGCACAAUUGGCGCAUGCCUCCAUGAAAGUCUAAUGCGAUCGUUCUUCCCUCCAGAUAGGAUCAACGGAAUGGGUAGAAGAGAACAGAGAAAUCCUUGCUUCAAGGGCGGUUGCUUACUUGAAUGUUGACGCGGCAGUUGGUGGACCGGAGGGGUUUCAGACCAGUGCCACUCCACAGCUUGAUGAAUUGAUCAAAAGAGCAACUCAGCAGGUAUCAUUGGAAUAUAAAUAACUAGAAUAAGCUUUUUUGUACAUGAUCAGUAAAAGAAGAUGAGCACCACUGUUUGAAUUAGUGAUGAAUGGAUUUGAAUCAGUUAGGUAGAGGAACAAUAUAUAGGGUGGAUAAAAAGAAAAGUACCAUUCAACAUUUCUCAAAAGUAGAUACAUUAACUUAAACAUGAUGGUGGCACCAACCACAUUUCUAUUUUGGUAUUUUUGCAGAUUAAAGACCCAGAUAACUCAUCUCAGACCAUUUAUGAUUCUUGGACUGGUUCAAGUAGUUCCCCUGUGGUAAGCAUAUUGCAGUUGUUUACAUGUUUAUGUUACAAAAGGGCAGACAUCUUGCUAUAAAACAUUCAAAGUUCUACUCUUUUAAUUUUAACAGUAGUAUCAGUGGUUAAUGGGGAUUAAACUUUAGAUUAGCUAUAUAACUGAAUAUCUAUCUAUGCUCAAACAAUUUCUCUACUUUGAAAGAUUGGAAGGUUAGGAGGUGGAGGAUCAGAUUAUGCAGCUUUUUUGCAGCAUGUUGGAAUUCCAGCAGCUGGCAUAUUUUUUGGUAAAACACAAAACUCAUUCUUUUAAUCAACAGUAUGCAGAUAUAUCAACAAUCUCAUUUCUGUUAUUCAUGUCCUUGUUUAAUAAAUGGUUUCUCUUGAACAAAAUGUCUGGAAAAAAAAGUCUUAUUAUUCAUAGCACAAUUCAAAUUCCACAUGACAAGGGGUUUAAAUCAUUUUUUUUUUCUCACAGGUAGUACAGGUUACCCAGUAUACCACUCACUAUAUGAUGAUUUCACCUGGAUGCAAAACUUUGGUGAUCCUAUGUUUCAAAGGCAUGUUGCAGGUUGGUCUCAUAAAUUUCUUCUACAACUUCUAUCGCAGUAAACGCUAUCUCAAUUGACUCUAGUGACAUACUGACAGCUAUUUGAAAAUUACCAAUAGUUCAAUGCAUAUGAAUUUCUUUUCUCACCAUAGAUUUAAGAAAACUUAAACAUGUUACAUUUUCCAUCAUAAGCAAACACACUUUCUGCUUGCUUAUUACUAAAUGAUUAUGUUCUGUAAAACAGCUGCAAGUGUUUGGGGUCUAGUAGCGCUUUGGCUAGCAGAUGAGGAAUUCAUACCUUUUGAUCAUGUUUCCUAUGUUAAGGAGCUCCAGGUGCGCCCACUUUAGAUGCUUAUUUAAUCAAACAUUGCAGUGGUAUACAAAAUCUAUUAAUUCUCACUGAGACCAUGAAGAUCAAUUCUUACAAUGCAAAAUAUCUUAAUCACAGCUUAGCUUUAAGGUACUGGAAAAUGAGAUUUCAAACAAAGAUAUAAAUUUGACUCCCAUACUGACCUCCAUCAAGGAGUUUGAGAAAGCAGCAAUUAUGAUAAAGAACCAGAGAAAGGUACGUCAUAAUUCUUAAAUACCUUUUUUGGGAGGGAUGAGAAGUGCAAAACAUUGAAAUGCAUGUGGUUCUUCAGAAAUUAGAAGCAAGUAAAGGAUGGACAACAAAGAAGGAGGACCAUUAUUUUAAAGUGAGAGAGCUGAAUGAUAGACUGAUGAUGGCUGAGCGUGCAUUCACUGACAGAGAUGGUCUCUUUGGAAUGUCAUGGUAUAAGCAUUUGGUAAGUUAUGAAACUAACGGAUUUUCUUAAAAGGAAGGAUGAUAUGAAAUAAAUGCAUAAAACUGGAUCAAAUUGGCAAUGGCUUCUCUUUUAGCAUCUCUCAUUUCCAGUCUUAGUCUAAUUUUCUAGCAUAAAUUCUCGUUUAAGUAGCUGAAACAUUCAAUUGUCUUCUAGUCUUCCUUUUUAAUUUUAUUCUGGUCAUUUUUCAGAUAUAUGGACGAUCGAAACACAAUGGUUAUGGCUCCCAAUCUUUCCCUGGAAUUGAUGAUGCUGUAAUAAUAGCAAAAGAUACAAAGACUGUAGAAUCGUGGCUUCGAGUACAACACGAAGUAUGGAGAGUCUCAAGAGUUAUCAAACAGGUCUCGUUAGUUCUCUCGGGUCAACUCACAUGAAUGAAGAUUUACAUUUUCUGGCUCGCUAUGGCCAUGAGUUUUGUGAGCUGAACUUUGAUGCAGAGCAUGUUCCCCACCCUCUUCUGUCUUAUUUACUAAAGGAUGUAAUAGGGGUUUCUUCCCCCAGAUUGGUAUAGUUUUGUAUCUCUGGGCUUUAGCCCUCUUUGUAAUAAAAAAAACGUUAGUGAAAACAUACGAUUAUAUAUAUGCAGUCUAAUAGAAAUGCGUCAUAACCCCUUUCAUCCUUGUUUGUGCCUAUGCAAACCAGAAAACAGAAUAGUUUUCACUCCAUGCCCCUUUGUACCCUCUCAUUUCCCUUUUUUUCCUAAUGUUAGUCUUUCAUUUCCCCUCGUUAUCAAACACAUGCAAAUUUAGGCACUUAUUCUUAUUGUUUCAUUGCUCUGAUAUGGAUACUACAGGUAACAAGAGGUCGUCUCCCAUUAUGAUGAUGAAGACUACGAUAAUGAUUCUUUAGGAUAGAAGAAGGUAAAAUCGUUAGCUACUUAGUUAAUACUUUGAUGAGCACCGUCCUCUAAUAAAGAAGGUCUAUGAAAGAAGGAAUAAGAGGAAGGCAGCUGUUUAGCCUAAUUCUGUUAUAUUCUGUUAUCAAUGUAAUAAGGACUAGCCUAGUAUCUAGUCUGUUAAAGUUAGCAGUUAGGAUCUUGUCCUAUAAAUAGAAGGACAGGUCAGUUUGUUAGGCAGCUAGAGAAUAAGUUAGUUUGUUGGAGAUUCUGGACUCUCGAAGUUCCAGUGGGAUUGGGGUUCAUAGUUUCCCUGUUGUAGUUCCCAAUUCUUGUAUCCUAGAGCCAUUGAUUCUCACUAUGAGGAUCUUGGUUCUGUUUCAGUUCAAUUGAAUAAACCAAUUCACCUUCUCUGUUCUUGAUUCCAUCAUACUUCGAGUCGUUGAUUACCUCAUUUAGCCCAAAUAGAAAGCUGAAGAAUUAUGAUUUCUGGAUUUUUCUGUUGGCUCCCUCACAUAUGUACAUUUUGUUUCUUUCUUUAUAGCGAGGGGGUUAUUUGUCUAAUUUGUGUUUUUUCAUUCUAAUAAUUUGGUUCUCAUUGAUUUUUUAUUUUUUCAAUUCUGCUGACUGUUUCUGCUUGUAGGCAUUACUUUACUUGAUUGUUUCUGCAGUGACCAAUUUAUUUGAGAAAUUCUUUAGGAACUAUGCUCAGAUGAUCUUGGUUAGUAAGUUUGGGAUGUUUAAGAUUCAAUUGGUUUAACCUCUUUCCCCAUUUUGAAUUGGAUGCUCAAGUAUCAAUGAUUACUCUUGAUUCUUUACUUGUGAUAUAUUAUCUGUUACUUCUUAAACUUAUCUUGUCAAAAAAUGUGGGAGACAUGAAUUAUCACUAUGUUUUCUUCCAUGUUCUUGCAAAUUCCACUUGCAGAUAGAUAUGAUUGGAUUAAUGUGUAUUAAUGUGCACUGAGUAUGAAUUUGUAGAUGUACAAACUUUGCUGUUUUUGUUCACUUAGUCAUGGAUCUAACUAUCUAAGGCUAAUGGAUUCCCUAGGUUAAGGGAUUCUCGUUCUAUUAAAUGAAUGUGAUAAAAGUAUUUGAAGCAGUAUCAGUGGAGUUUGGGCAAGGUAUUCUCUUGAUCUGUUUAAUGAAUGUGAUUCAAGUAUUGAGAGCAGUGUAAAUGGAGUUUGGUUGGUAAGUUCAUUUAUCCUUUUGGAAUUCGUUCAUAACUUCACUCUGAUUUGAAAUAGUUCUAUUUCUGUUGGGACCAUAAUGAGACGUGGAACAACAUAGAGACCAAGACGUUAGAUUAUGAAAAAGAUAUCGUCAUUAUCUAACAAAAGACAAACUUAAAAUUGAUUAUUAAAGCACUGCACUUUGAAAUCUUGUUGAACUAUUUAUGCAGCACAUAUAUUUGAAAUGAAUAACUUGUAUGGGUUUGAAGAUGUUUUGUAUGAUGGGCUGUCAUAUAGGUAACAUCAACGAGUCACAAUAUUUAAAUUCAGAUAUUGAAAAGCAAAAUAACUUUGAAGAGUUGGAUGCAAGUUUAAAUAUUCAAAAUUGCAAAGUGAUGACUAAUAAAGCAUGUAAUGAGACAAAAUGAAUAUGUAGGGACAGAGACAUCCUACCUAAUUAGGUUCACAGAACAUGAAGUAGGCAGAAAAAAGAUAGACUUCUUCCUUUCUCAAUCAGAGCUAACUAGUCCUAGUAAAUGCGAAAUGCAGUAUAGUUAACAAUAUGUCUCUCUCACACACACACACAUACACUCACACACAAACAAAGUAGACCAGAGACCCCAGGGAAGCCAAGAAACCUGCUCUAAGGUGCCAACAAUAUCAAACAAGCAAAAUAAUACUAUCCACCACAUAAGUAAGUAGUAAUAGAAGUGUUGAACCUGUUUCUUUCCUCUUAAACUGAUAUACCAUGAUCAAAACAGGCACUUCCUUAUUAGCCAUAGCUACCUCUUACUUGUUACUUCUCAUUAAUCCAACCCCAAAAUCAACAUAUCAUUCUCUCUUCAUCUCCAAUUCCCUAUCAGACAAUGCCUCCAUAGCCCACCAUCUUCAAACUCUCACCCGCAGACCCCACAUAGCUGGUUCUGAAGCCAACACUGAGGCUGCAGCUUAUGUUCUGUCGGUCUUCGCCUCCUGCAACAUACCAUCUCACUUUACUUCCUAUGAAGUUGGCCUCACAUACCCAAUUUCACGCUCCUUGGUGCUCAAAAACCUGCCACCUGAACCUCCCACUAACUUCACUCUACGCCAAGAAAUCUACAAGGGUGAUCCUUAUGCUGAUGUUACAGACCAGGUUGUUCCGACAUUCCACGCGUAUGCCAAGUCAGGCACCGCAAUUGGCCCUGUCGUGUACGUGAACUAUGGAAGGGAGGAGGACUAUUUGACACUGGGACAGAUAGGGAUCAACGUUUCAGGCACUGUUGUAUUGGCAAAGUAUGGGAAAAUCUUCAGAGGGGACAUUGUGAAGAAUGCAUAUGAUGCAGGUGCUGCAGGGGUGGUGAUAUAUUCAGAUAGGAAAGACUAUGGUGGUGCUGGGGUGGCGCGGUGGUUCCCUGAUGACAAGUGGAUGCCGCCGAGCGGGGUUCAGGUGGGGUCAGUGCUUAUGGGGAAAGGGGACCCCACAACACCUGGUUGGGCGAGUAGUGGUGAAUGUGAGAGGCUGUCCAAUGAGGAGGUGGAGAAGGGAGGUGAUGUUCCUCUGAUACCUUCAUUGCCAGUGUCAGCUGCAGAUGGUGAAAAGAUAUUGAGGUCAAUUGGUGGCCCUGUUGCUCAGGAUGAUUGGCAGGGAAGCAUAGAUGCACCUACUUACAGGGUUGGACCAGGACCAGGGAUUCUCAACCUCAGUUACAUGGUACCUUAUCGAGUGGUAGUUUCAGUGCAAACAUCAUAUGCAAAAGCCCCUCCAGUCAAACAAGAACUAGAUUGAUUAGUAGAUUUUUGGAUAUUGCUUUUGCAGGGACAGGAUAUUAUAGCCACAAUUCAAAAUGUUAUUGGUGUGAUUGAAGGAGAAGAAGAGCCUGAUCGGUAUGUAUGCAAGAAUUCCACCCUUACCAUUUGCAUUCAAUGGCAAUGAAGGUUGUGAACUUAGAAAAUUCAUAUUCUUGUUUUAUUGAGCUUUUCAUUUAAUCACUUAUGCAACUGCUUGUAGAUAUGUCAUUCUAGGAAAUCAUAGGGAUGCAUGGACAUUUGGAGCAGUUGAUCCCAAUAGUGGAACUGCAGCACUACUUGAGGUAAGAUUUGUGUAACACGGAACAAUGGCUGACAACUGACACCUGCAAUUUGUGGCGGGGCUGCCACUAUUCUGUGGUACACAAAUCAUGUUUGACUUUGUAGACAUAGUGUUGUUGUUUCAAGCCAUACCAUUAAAAUGGACACACUCCUGAAAUUCAGGUUGCCGAAAGAUUGGGGAAGCUUCAAAAGAAAGGGUGGAAACCUAGAAGAACCAUUAUCUUAUGCAAUUGGGAUGCUGAGGAAUACGGUCUUGUAAUUUUCUUUCCCUCUCUCUUUUCUCUAUUUUGUUAGGCACAAUGGUUCUCUUACGCCCGGUGAAUGUUUGUUACGAUCGUCCCCUCCAGAUAGGAUCAACGGAAUGGGUAGAAGAGAACAGAGAAAUUCUUGCUUCAAGGGCGGUUGCUUACUUAAACGUUGACUGUGGAGUAGCUGGACCUUGGUUUCAGGCCAGUGCCACACCACAGCUUGAUGAAUUGAUCAAAAGAGCAACUCAGCAGGUAUCACAACAAAGUUGGAAUAAAAGACAACUAGAAUAAGUUCUUUGAUGAGCACCCGUUUAAUAUGAAUUUUUUCUUACAUGGCUUUGAAUCAAUCACGUAGUGGGUAACAAUAUAUGGAGUGGAUAAAAUGAACGGGGAGUGGAUAUAACAAAACGUACUAUUCAGCAUUUCUCUAAAGAAGAUACAUGAAAAUAAAGCAUGAUGGUGGCACCAACCACUUUUGCAUUUUCUUUUUCUGUAGGUUAAAGACCCAGAUAACUCAUCUCAGAGCAUGUAUGAAUCUUGGAGUGGUUCAAGUAGUUCCCCUCUGGUAAGCAUAUUGCAGUUGUUUACAUGUUUACAUUAUAAACCCAACUAAAUGUUUUGGGGUAGCACUGAGGAGAAACAUUCAGUGCUCUACUUUUAGUAUCAACAAUAAUGCCAGUGGUUAGUGGGGAGUAAACUUUAGAUUAGCUGUAUAACUGAACAUCUAUCUAUGCUAAAUCAAUUUCUCUACUUUAAAAGAUUGGAAGGUUAGGAGGUGCAGGAUCAGAUUACGCAGCAUUUUUGCAGCAUGUGGGAAUUCCAGCAGCUGACAUAGCCUUUGGAGGGGGUAAAUACAAAACUCAUUCUUUUAAUCAUCAAUAUACAGAUAUAUAAUAAUCUCAUUUCUGUUAUUCUUGUCCUUGUUUAAUAAAUGGUUUCUCAUGAACAAAAUGAAAAAAAAAAAUUAUUAGUUAUAUAGCACAAGCACAAUUCAAAUUCCACAUGCUAAGGGGAAAUCAUUUUUUUCACACAGAUUCUGCAACUUACCCAGUAUACCACUCAUUAUAUGAUGAUUUCAUCUGGAUGCAAAAAUUCGGUGAUCCUAUGUUUCAACGGCAUGUUGCAGGUUGGUCUCGUAAAUUUCUUUUACAAUUUCUAUCACAGUAAACCCUAUCUCAAUAGACUCUAGUGACAUCUAUAUGAAUGGAAGCUCCAAUUCAGUUACAUAUCCUCAGUGUAUUUGAAAAUUAUCAACAGUUUGAUACAUAUGAUAUGAAUUUCUUUUCUAAUUAUACAAUUAAAGAUGGGAAGUUUUUUGCACCAUUUUUCAAUAAACAAAAGUAUGCCUUAUUACCUAAUUAUGACCACUAUUUACUGCAUGCUUAUUACUUAGUGUUUAUGUUCUGUAAAACAGCUGCAAGUGUUUGGGGUCUAGUAGCACUUUGGUUAGCAGAUGAGGAAUUCAUACCUUUUGAUUAUGUUUCCUAUGCUAAGGAGCUCCAGGUGUGCACACCUUAGAUUCUAAUAUAAUCAAACAUUAUACAAAAUAUAUUCUCACCAAGAGUAUGAAGAUUCUUACAACACAAAACAUCUUAAUCACAGCUUAGCGUUAAGGUACUGGAAAAUGAGAUUUCAAGCAAAGACAUAAAUUUGACUCCUAUGUUCACCUCCAUCAAGGAACUUGAGAAAGCAGCAACCAUGAUAAAGAACCAAAGAAAGGUAUGUCAUAAUUCUUCAAUACCUCUUUUAGGAGGGAUAAGAAGUACAAAGAUUGAAAUUUUGAUCUUUUAGGAAUUAGCAGCAAGUAAAGGAUGGACAACAAGGAAGGAGAACCAUUUGAAAGUGAGAGAGUUGAAUGAUAGACUGAUGAUGGCUGAGCGUGCAUUCACUGACAGAGAUGGUCUGUUUGGAAUGUCCUGGUACAAGCAUUUGGUAAGUGUUUUUAGAGUGAAUUUGAAAGUGUAAGCGUCAAGCAGAUUAGUCCCUAUAAGAAUGAAGUAAACACUCCAUGUGGUCCCUAAUUGUGUCAAAUGUCGGUCAAAUUUGUUUGACGUUUUAUCUAACCAUAGGGACUGACUAUUCCGACAUUUGACAUAAUCAGGGACUGUAGGGUAUUCCCUUCUUCUAGGUACUAACUUGUUUGACGCUUAUCCUUUCAGGGACGAAAUUGGGCAUUCACUGUGUGUUUUUUUACAAAGCAUUUGGUGAUGAAACUAAUGGAUCAAAUUGGCAAUGACUUCUCUUUUAGCAUCUCUAAUUUCCAGUCUUAAUCUAAUUAUCUAGCAGAAACUUUUUGUCUAAGUAGCUGAAACAUUCAAUUGUCUUCUAGUAUUCCUUUUUAAUUUUAUUUCCGGACAUUUUUCAGAUAUAUGGACGAUCGAAACACAAUGGUUACGGCUCCCAAUCUUUCCCUGGAAUUGAUGAUGCAGUAAUAAUAGCAAAAGAUACACAGACUGUAGAGUCAUGGCAUCGAGUACAACACGAAGUAUGGAGAGUCUCAAGAGUUAUCAGACAGGCCUCGUUAGUUCUCUCAGGUCAACUGACAUGAAAGUCAACUGCACUUUGCAAUUUGAAUCAUUAGUUGAAACUUGAAAGUUAAUUUCCUAUUCAUGGUACAAGGUGUCACUCUUUCUAUGAUGAGAAGCUAUGUGCUUCCCUGUUCUGAAUUUGUAAUAUUACUUCUGUAAUGUUUGCUUGCUUUAUCUAUUAUUUACUAGUUACUACCUAUUAUAAUACAUAAUUCCUACCAUGCAUGUGUUUCCUGUACAUUUCAGCAAUGAUCUUUGAUAUUCUUUUUGUCACUCCAGCAUUUUCUCUUUAUUCUUUAGUGUUAGCUUUUUAAUCCAGUUCUCAGUUUCUACACUCCUACAGACCAUGACAUUUUCUUCCUUCGACAUUAACUUGCUUUAUUUUUCUCAAACUAAUAACAGUUGCCAAUUACACCUUUUAAAACAUUACUAGUCAUACAAAUUCUUAAAAUAAUCACCCAUUAACUCAUUAUCCAAUCAACAAUUUCAAAAAUACCCCAUCCAAACACUCUCUUAAAAAAGAUGAGUACACAAAAAGAGGAGAGAUGAGUAGAGAGUAAAAAAAAGGUGAGAAAUAUAGUAGAGAGAUAGAAAAGAGAGAAAUAUAUUUUUUGGGUGCAAAAAAAAAAUUUUAACAAUUAAAAGCUCUUGUGAGGUUAAAUGACAUUUCUGGUAUUGCGGAACGCCACUAAUAUGCGUUCAGAGUAAAAAAUAAAAAACAACCAUCAACUCAUUUUUCUCCAAUUUGGAGAGACUAUGAAAAGUUGUGGGUCUCACCCGCUCUCUUUCUUGGCCCUCUCUUAGAGCAUCUCCAACCAUGGGUUGCUUCAACAUUAUUUUGGUGGGUCCAAACUGUCACAUAGGAUUUAAGCAACUAAUGCAGAUUUCGCUCCAACCAAGGUUUCUUAUUUUACUUUUGGUUGGGUCUCACUAUAUCUGAUAUAUUUAUACUAUUUUAAAAUCAUGACACUAUUCAAGUUUAUGAAUGAAAGAGAAAAAAAAUAUAUUUUUAGUCCAAAAGUAAUUAGAAAGAGAAUAAGCAAAAUGUUACUAAAAUUUAAGCAACCAGAAUUGUCAUGUCAUGGUGCUCCGAAAUAAGCAACGUUGCUUAAGUGCUCCAACUAGAUUAAGCAACCUUCAUUGAAGAUAUUCUUAAAGAAACAAAACAUUGAAGAGGAAUAUGAAGAAGAAGAAAAAAAUUGGGAGAUAUAAGUGAUGUGAUGAGAAAAUGAAAAGACGUGUGAAGAAAAAGUCAGGGAAAAUUGAUAGAAAGAGAAAGAAAUGUGUGAAACCAUAUAUUAAACAUAAUAAUAUGUGUACAAUCAAACGGUGCAUAAUUAGGGACACCACCUAAUUAUAUCUAUUUAUCUCUUUUUUCCGGUCAUAUUGAAUCAUAUAUCACAUAUAUAUUGUUUUUCUCUCUUCUCAUCCUAUCUAUUGCUAUUGGUGUACAUCAUAAUUGUUCCUUUACUAACCAUAGCUAAGUGAUUGACUUGCUUUCCUUAUCAGUUAGAGCUGUAAUGUAGUAAAUGCCAAAUACUCUACAAUAUAACAAUCCCUCUCUCUCUCUCUCUCACACACACAAACACCAACAGAACAGACCAGAGAAGCCAAGAUACCAGCUCAAGAUUAGGUCUCAAACAUCAAACAAGCAAAUUAACACAAUCCAGUGAAUCCACCAAAUAAGUAAGUAGUACUAGUAGAAACCUGAACCUAUUUCUUUCCUCUUAAACUGAUGCAAUGAUCAAAACAGGAACUACCUUAUUAGCCAUAGCCACCUCUUACUUGUUGCUUCUCUUUACACAAACCCCAAAAUCUACCUAUCAUUCUCUCUUCAUCUCCAACUCCCUAUCAGACAAUGCCUCCAUAGCUCACCACCUUCAAACUCUCACCCGCAGACCUCACAUAGCAGGCUCUGAAGCCAACGCAGAAGCUGCAGCUUAUGUUCACUCAGUCCUCACCUCCUGCAACAUACCAACCCACUUUGCUUCCUAUCAAGUUUCCCUCUCAUACCCUCUUUCUCGCUCCUUGGUGCUCACAAACCCGCCACCAGAACCCACCACAAACUUCCUUCUCCACCAAGAAAUCUACAAGGGUGAUCCUUAUGCUGAUGUUGCAGAUGAAGUUGUUCCUACAUUCCACGCAUAUGCCAAGUCAGGCACUGCAACUGGCCCUGUGGUUUAUGUGAACUAUGGAAGAGUGGAGGACUAUUUGACACUGGGAAAGAUGGGGGUCAACGUUUCAGGAACUGUGGUAUUGGCAAAGUAUGGGAAAAUCUACAGAGGGGACAUUGUGAGGAAUGCAUAUGAUGCAGGUGCUGCAGGGGUGGUGAUAUAUUCAGAUAGGAAGGACUACGGUGGUGCUGGCAAGGCGCGGUGUUUCCCGGAUGAGAAGUGGUUGCCGCCGAGCGGGGUUCAGACGGGGUCGGUGUAUUUGGGGGCAGGGGACCCUACAACACCUGGUUGGGCGAGUAGUGGUGAAUGUGAGAGGCUGUCCAAGGAUGAGGUGGAGAAGGAAGGUGAUGUUCCUUUGAUACCUUCAUUGCCAGUGUCAGCUGCAGAUGGUGAAAAGAUAUUGAAGUCAAUUGGUGGCCCUGUUGCUCAGGAUGAUUGGCAAGGAAGCAAAGAUGCACCAAUUUACAGGGUUGGACCAGGACCUGGAAUUCUCAACCUCAGUUACGCGGUAUGUUAUCAAUCUAGUAGUUUCAGUGAAUUUGUUACACUUAUUGGUUAGCCAUUCUUUUUUGUUGCAUUUCAUAAACUGUUAUGGCCUGGUGAAAACUUCACAUGAAUGCAAAAGAGCCUUCUAGUGUUAUCUGAAUGUUCAAUCA